CAGGCUUAACACAUGCAAGUCGAGGGGCAGCAGGAUCUAGCAAUAGAUUGCUGGCGACCGGCGCACGGGUGAGUAACACGUAUCCAACCUGCCGAUAACUCGGGGAUAGCCUUUCGAAAGAAAGAUUAAUACCCGAUAGUAUAAUCAGACCGCAUGGUUUGAUUAUUAAAGAAUUUCGGUUAUCGAUGGGGAUGCGUUCCAUUAGGCAGUUGGUGAGGUAACGGCUCACCAAACCUUCGAUGGAUAGGGGUUCUGAGAGGAAGGUCCCCCACAUUGGAACUGAGACACGGUCCAAACUCCUACGGGAGGCAGCAGUGAGGAAUAUUGGUCAAUGGACGCGAGUCUGAACCAGCCAAGUAGCGUGAAGGAUGACUGCCCUAUGGGUUGUAAACUUCUUUUAUAUGGGAAUAAAGUUUUCCACGUGUGGAAUUUUGUAUGUACCAUAUGAAUAAGGAUCGGCUAACUCCGUGCCAGCAGCCGCGGUAAUACGGAGGAUCCGAGCGUUAUCCGGAUUUAUUGGGUUUAAAGGGAGCGUAGGUGGACAGUUAAGUCAGUUGUGAAAGUUUGCGGCUCAACCGUAAAAUUGCAGUUGAUACUGGCUGUCUUGAGUACAGUAGAGGUGGGCGGAAUUCGUGGUGUAGCGGUGAAAUGCUUAGAUAUCACGAAGAACUCCGAUUGCGAAGGCAGCUCACUGGACUGCAACUGACACUGAUGCUCGAAAGUGUGGGUAUCAAACAGGAUUAGAUACCCUGGUAGUCCACACAGUAAACGAUGAAUACUCGCUGUUUGCGAUAUACAGUAAGCGGCCAAGCGAAAGCAUUAAGUAUUCCACCUGGGGAGUACGCCGGCAACGGUGAAACUCAAAGGAAUUGACGGGGGCCCGCACAAGCGGAGGAACAUGUGGUUUAAUUCGAUGAUACGCGAGGAACCUUACCCGGGCUUAAAUUGCAUUUGAAUAUAUUGGAAACAGUAUAGCCGUAAGGCAAAUGUGAAGGUGCUGCAUGGUUGUCGUCAGCUCGUGCCGUGAGGUGUCGGCUUAAGUGCCAUAACGAGCGCAACCCUUAUCUUUAGUUACUAACAGGUCAUGCUGAGGACUCUAGAGAGACUGCCGUCGUAAGAUGUGAGGAAGGUGGGGAUGACGUCAAAUCAGCACGGCCCUUACGUCCGGGGCUACACACGUGUUACAAUGGGGGGUACAGAAGGCAGCUACCUGGUGACAGGAUGCUAAUCCCAAAAGCCUCUCUCAGUUCGGAUCGAAGUCUGCAACCCGACUUCGUGAAGCUGGAUUCGCUAGUAAUCGCGCAUCAGCCAUGGCGCGGUGAAUACGUUCCCGGGCCUUGUACACACCGCCCGUCAAGCCAUGAAAGCCGGGGGUACCUGAAGUACGUAACCGCAAGGAGCGUCCUAGGGUAAAACUGGUAAUUGGGG
rnacentral:rRNA from 1 species